rnacentral:rRNA from 1 species
GCCGCAUGGCUCGGUGGGAAAAACUCCGGUGGUAUGAGAUGGACCCGCGUCUGAUUAGGUAGUUGGUGGGGUAACGGCCUACCAAGCCAACGAUCAGUAGCCGACCUGAGAGGGUGACCGGCCACAUUGGGACUGAGACACGGCCCAAACUCCUACGGGAGGCAGCAGUGGGGAAUAUUGCACAAUGGGGGAAACCCUGAUGCAGCGACGCCGCGUGAGCGAAGAAGUAUUUCGGUAUGUAAAGCUCUAUCAGCAGGGAAGAAAAUGACGGUACCUGACUAAGAAGCACCGGCUAAAUACGUGCCAGCAGCCGCGGUAAUACGUAUGGUGCAAGCGUUAUCCGGAUUUACUGGGUGUAAAGGGAGCGUAGACGGCUGUGUAAGUCUGAAGUGAAAGCCCGGGGCUCAACCCCGGGACUGCUUUGGAAACUAUGCAGCUAGAGUGUCGGAGAGGUAAGUGGAAUUCCCAGUGUAGCGGUGAAAUGCGUAGAUAUUGGGAGGAACACCAGUGGCGAAGGCGGCUUACUGGACGAUGACUGACGUUGAGGCUCGAAAGCGUGGGGAGCAAACAAGAUUAGAUACCCUGGUAGUCCACGCCGUA